CGAGAGUGGGCUAGUACUCUCGUGCCGAUCAUUACGAUCACCGGAUUAGAAUUUUCACCGGCGGUAAGAAGGAGCGGCAGGAGGCACAGGCACCCAGAAGUUUCUAAGCGUGUCGACUGCCGACUAGUGGAAGCACAAACUAGGUAAAGUGAUAAAUCGUCUUUCCAAAAGCUCAUUUCAUGUUUUUGUGGCAUGUCAUGUGGUUGGACUUUCAGGUAAUAAAAUCCAUGCUAUGGCUCACAAUAUCAGUUCGGUAUGACACACAACAUCAAUCCAUCUUUUAAUUAGAUAGACCAUACCAAAAGCUGAUACAAUUUUUAGACCCUUUUUCAAUGGUCUUGAAGAGAGAAAUUUUCUAUUUUUAUCUAUGGAGUCACAACCCAGGUCGUUGUAAAUCCAUGAAUUUGAUUCGGUUUGUAAGGCAACACCUUCUUUCUGUGGCAAAGGUCGAUUAGUUUCAAAGAAAAUCCAUGUUAAAUAGUUUGGUUUCCACAUAAUAGGGGAAAUCUCCACUUCCAAAACAAGUCCAGUUUAUGUAAUAAAUGUUACAAUAUAUGUGAAUUGUACUAGUCCUUUUCAUCAGUU